AUUGAACGCUGGCGGAAUGCUUUACACAUGCAAGUCGAACGGCAGCACGGACUUCGGUCUGGUGGCGAGUGGCGAACGGGUGAGUAACAUAUCGGAACGUAUCCAAUAAUGGGGGAUAACGAGUCGAAUGAUUCGCUAAUACCGCAUACGCCCUACGGGGGAAAGCUGGGGACCUUCGGGCCUGGCGUUAAUGGAGCGGCCGAUAUCUGAUUAGCUAGUUGGUGAGGUAAAGGCUCACCAAGGCGACGAUCAGUAGCUGGUCUGAGAGGACGACCAGCCACACUGGAACUGAGACACGGUCCAGACUCCUACGGGAGGCAGCAGUGGGGAAUUUUGGACAAUGGGCGCAAGCCUGAUUCAGCCAUUCCGCGUGAGUGAAGAAGGCCUUCGGGUUGUAAAGCUCUUUCGCAAGGGAAGAAAACUUAGCCACUAACAUUGGUUGAGGUUGACGGUACCUUGAUAAGAAGCACCGGCUAACUACGUGCCAGCCGCCGCCGUAA
rnacentral:rRNA from 1 species